rnacentral:lncRNA from 1 species
GUUUAUAAUUGUUUACUAACCGUGUAUUAUGGUAAUUUCAUGGUAUAUUACGGUAGAUGUAGGUAGUUAAAUAGUUUUGGGUAAAAGAAGUAGCGCGUGAAAUCAGUCAAGUAGAACAAUAUCAUGCGAAUCGUUCACUUUCCACGCAGAGUUGAUAGCUUGAGCAGCAGCUUAGAGUAUUUUAGUUUUUAUUGAAAUUACUAAUGAUAGAAGGCACAUUCCAGUAUGUAGUAAAAGAUACAGAUGCACAGUAACAGCUCGGAGAGCGAUUGUGGGUGUAAGCACAGAUGUGAGACAGAUAUAUGCAUUGUUGAAGGUCACUGAUAUCAUUACAUCACUGACCAAGACUACAAUACUACGAUAGAAUCAAUACAGAUAUAAAACUGAACCGGAGUUGUUGUCUAUUACAUCACUCAAGAGGUCACAUUUUGGAGCCCCCAACAACAGGGAUUGACGACGCCCUUGGUACUACCAAUUUACUACUGGAUAGAGGAUCUCGUAGAUGUUGCACUAGCGAUAAACAUUUUGGAAAAUCUGCUGUCUUUAGUGCUGACGACAAACGGUAUAAGGCAAUUUAAACAGUGUAUAGUAAGUGUUCAUGAAUUAGACAGUAACUUUAAAGAUUUUAUGUCGGGAAUCCGGCUUAACGAGGAAUUAUCAACAGAUUAGAGAGGAUACAAAUGAACUGUAGAGUGUUUAUAAGACAUUGUCAUUAGGAGUGGUGCUAGAAUUAAUUAGGAUAAUUUAACCAUUUUAAAUACAUUUUUAUUAGAUUUUUAAUAAAAUAAUUUUUAGUUUAAAUUUGAUGAUAGAUUCAAUGUUGUGAAAUAUGUUAUUGUGAAGUAGGUAUAUACAAUUUGAGAAUAUUUGACUGAAUUUUUUACAAGUCGGUGUGUUACAGUAAAACAGGCUGAAUUCAGUGAAAAAUUUUGGCAGUUAUACAUAGGUGAGUGUACAGGUGAAAAAGAAUUACAAAAUUUUUGCAGCAUUACAUUAAACACUUUAUUUUUGGAGUGUUUAAAUAUUUAAAGGGUGAAAAAGAGACUUUGUGAGUAAGUUUCAGUUAAAAUCACAAUGUUCACUUGGUGAAGGUGCUUUGUAAUAUCUCACUGUAAGUUUGCAUGAAUUUCACUUAAAAUUGCUUAUAUUUAACUUUGCUAACAGUAAUUGUUCUGACAACCGGGAGUGAUAUUUGGCGUUACAGUUGCUCUAGUGUCUGGUUGGUACAUAAGGGUUUCAGUAAGUAAUUUAGUUUCAAAUUGGUUUAAAGCAUAUAAGGUAAACAGGAAUUAAGUAAUUAUAGAUGUAGGAGUGUAAGUAAAUUUUCAAGUAGGAUU